GGCGGCGUGCCUAAUACAUGCAAGUCGAACGAGUUCUCGUUGAUGAUCGGUGCUUGCACCGAGAUUCAACAUGGAACGAGUGGCGGACGGGUGAGUAACACGUGGGUAACCUGCCCUUAAGUGGGGGAUAACAUUUGGAAACAGAUGCUAAUACCGCAUAGAUCCAAGAACCGCAUGGUUCUUGGCUGAAAGAUGGCGUAAGCUAUCGCUUUUGGAUGGACCCGCGGCGUAUUAGCUAGUUGGUGAGGUAAUGGCUCACCAAGGCGAUGAUACGUAGCCGAACUGAGAGGUUGAUCGGCCACAUUGGGACUGAGACACGGCCCAAACUCCUACGGGAGGCAGCAGUAGGGAAUCUUCCACAAUGGACGCAAGUCUGAUGGAGCAACGCCGCGUGAGUGAAGAAGGCUUUCGGGUCGUAAAACUCUGUUGUUGGAGAAGAAUGGUCGGCAGAGUAACUGUUGUCGGCGUGACGGUAUCCAACCAGAAAGCCACGGCUAACUACGUGCCAGCAGCCGCGGUAAUACGUAGGUGGCAAGCGUUAUCCGGAUUUAUUGGGCGUAAAGCGAGCGCAGGCGGUUUUUUAAGUCUGAUGUGAAAGCCCUCGGCUUAACCGAGGAAGCGCAU
rnacentral:rRNA from 2 species